rnacentral:sRNA from 22 species
GUAGAUGCUCAUCCUAUUUCUUAUGAUUGCAUAUGCUUCAUAAACCCAGGGAUGAUGCAGAGCCGAUUAUCGGUGCCUAUUGUCCAUGUCACAGAUGAGUAAGAUAUAACCCUCUUUUCAUCGCCGACCGGACUCAACGUUGAGUGAGGCACUAUCCGUCUGUAGACCUGAUUGUAUUUGUACACCUAUCUUUAUUUUUAAGGUAGGUGUUUUUUU